UGAAAUGCUUUAGAGGCUUUUGCAAAUCUGGCAUUUCAAUUAUCUGCUGGGGCCAAGCUAUCACCUUCAUAAAGCUUCUGUGAGGUCCUUCCCUCAAAGAGGGUGUUUUCCUGGUGAGAAAAGCAGUAUGAGCACAGAAACAACAGCUCCAGGAGCAAAUUCUCUGCUCAUGGGAGACGGUUAUCCAUUGCAGAUCCCCACAGGGCAGAAGUCACACCAGCCUCAGUGCUACCCAUCCUUGUGUUGGAGGGGCUUCAGCCAGUCCCUCUUACCUUUCCCCGGCUGCCUGUCUACCACCACAUUGCCUUGGCCCCUGCCAACAUCCAUGGGGCUAAAUAAAAGUUAGUGGGAAGGUCUUAAGAAGAGAAGCCUGGAAAAAUCAGGAAUGCUUCCUAAAACUCUUGGCUUGUGUGACGUCCAUCUGCUCAGAGCACACAUUAGCGGGUUGUUUCUUCUAAAUUAAAAGCUGUGAUAAACUCAGCUGCUCUCAGCUCCUUCAUUGUCAUUGUCUUUAUCUUUCAGAGUUAAUUUGCUGAGAUGAAGGGGGCUAUUCCCACCUCCUAGAUAACUACUAGCCUGAGCAGCCUGCACGCUGGGGCAGACCUCUACAUCCCACCCUAGCAGAAAGUGGGUCUUAUUGAUUUUCCCAGAGCUGCUGAUGGAGCAGGUUGGGGACACGAGUGGCAGCCAGGCAUCCUCGGGAUGCAGCUCCGACAACACGUGCUGGACCUGCCAGGCUCCCAAGCAUCGUCACCAUAAUCAUGACGGAGCCUGGUAGACCAGUCACCAACACUAGUUACCAACACUAGCAAUUAAGUGCAUUAUCUAAGGGGGGUGUGUUAUAUACAGAAAUGCAGCCCUGCCAUAAGUGCAUGUUCAGAGGUAAACACGUAGCUGAGCAGAGAAAUAAAAGUCGACUCUAUGUGAAUUUUUUUUUCCUUUACAGACAUCUUCACUGUUCUAGAGCUGAGCCUUAUGGAUAUUUGGUUGUGGUUUGGUUUGGUUGUUGUUUUUUUGUUGUUGUUUUUUUUGUGUGUGUGUGUGUGUGUUUUUUUGUUUGCUUGUUUGUUUGUUUGUUUUUUGUUUUUUUUUUUUUGUUUUUUUUUUUUCACAGAAAUACUGUUUAAAUGGAUGACGGACACUCUACUCUGCCCCAAAAUGCCAUAGAGGGGUGAGGAUCUGGCCACAUCCUCUAUGCAGAGUUACCCCAGCAAAUCUUACCCACGGGGGAACUGGUGACACAUCACCAUGAGGACUUCUGUCGUUUGAGGACACACCCCGCCUGGGAGCUGGUGAGCACCCAAAAAUCCUGUGAAACGUGUGAGUGCCGGAGCUGCUUCUGUGGGAUUUCGGACCAUAUCCUCCUGGGGUGCAAAUUAGUGUAGACCCUCUGAUUUUUAAGGAGCAACUGAAUCAGGCAUCAUCAGCCAAGAUAUUUGGAAUCAUCAGUCAAGAUUUCCAAUAUGGGGAAGCUGAAUCUUAUUCCCGAGGCUUCAGAGACAGAUAUUCAGCAACAAGAUAUUCAGCGACAAGCACUACAUUUCAUCAGAUACUUCACCUCUCUUUUCUAAAGGAAUGUAUCAUAAUAAUAAUCUUCAGUGGGUAUCAGCAACUGUGGAAUUUUUUAAUCCAGUAAACUGAGGCUGUGUUAUAGCACUGUGAUAUUAGCAGGGUCUUCCUCUGUUAGAUCUUUCCUGUAAGUUAUAUUUCAAUAGAGGAAACCAUUCGUACCCUGCCAUCUCCUGAGUUGGCCAAACAUCCACAAUCCUAUUGCUAAUCUGCUUUCUCUAAUGAAAGCAUCAAUUCCUAGCAGCGAUAGUUGUCAUUAAAUCAAUAAGCCACGUAACCUAUUCUUCUGCUGCCUCACGCAAACACUUGAGCAGCUUGUUAACAAGAUUUGCUAGCACUGAGGUCCCAUAGUCCAGAAGUUUCCCACUGAUGCCACAAAACAUAACAGUAUUUGGCUUAUGGAAGAACUUCUCCAGUUUACCUUGUUCUUCUAAACAUUUUAACCCUGUUUUCCCUCUGAUUUUUCAGCAUUUGAAAUGUGUGGAGCAACUUUGCUCAUGUGGAGGUGAUUCAGGCUUGAACGAAGCACUGACAGCAAAUGUCGGGCAUCGUUUUCUGCAGGUAGUCGAACAGUGUCCUGGAGACAGUUCUUGGUUUGCCCAGCAUUUUAUUUCCCCCCCCAGGGAAGCACUAAGCUAAUUCCUAGUUGUCCCUAACAGGUUUCCUUCUUCCCCUGGAAUCUGUUUCUCAUGGAUUUUUUAAUCACUUAAAAGUAAAACUGUGGCCUCUCUUAGCCCUCCAACACUUUUCUGGUCAGUAAAAACCCCAUUCCUGGAAAUCUGGAAGCUGGCUGAUGUUUAAGGAUGAGGUAAAAGACCUCAAGCUGCACAUAUCAGCAGAGAUGCUUAACAAAAACCACAGGAGGACUGUUAGGGAAUGGAGUGCCUUAGUUUAUUGAAUUAUUUGGUAUACUGCUUCUUAUAUAACUUGUUUAGAAACUGCUUAUAUAGAAUUUACUUAGCAUAAGUAAGUUUGUUUAGCAUAACUUCUGCAAGCUGUGAACCUUUGAACUUUUUGCUUCGUUAAGUUAAAAAUGCCACAGAGUCUUCAAGCUAGAAGAUAAGGGGAGCUUCGUCCUUGUAGAAAAGUGAGGAACAGAAUGGCAUCUAAGAGGAGCUGUUUGCUGUUCAGGCUGUUACCAAUAACUUAUUUUCCUCAGUUGCGGGUACAAAAUAGCACCUGGAGGUCAGAACUUUAAUUGACAGCCUGCCUGACAAAAAUGAAGAGAUCCAAUGAAGAAAGGGGAGACCCCAGUCUCUAAUUUUGCAGUUGGCUCAGACUGACAUAUGGGGGGUCUUGGAUUGUGGGGGUAUAAUUGUCUAAGUGUUUUUCUGCCAAGGGUCCCUCUUCAGGAGGCACCCAGCUCAAGCUGUUCUACGCUGUAACUUGUGAAUAAACUAUUUAUUUUAGAAGAAUUUCUGGAAUCUAUGCAUGAGUCUCUGCUACGGGAAUCCUAGGGAAAAGGAACUUCUCUAACACUGACAUUAAAGCGCAGCUGAUGUGGCUUUUCUCUUGAGCAGCAAGAGCAGCCUGUGCUGACAAUAAGGUGCUUCUACAGUAUGAACUA